rnacentral:rRNA from 1 species
UUUUUGAAGUUAAUAUAAAGUCUAAUCUGCCCACUGAUAUAUUAUUAAAGGGCUGCAGUAUUUUGACUGUACAAAGGUAGCAUAAUCAUUUGUCUUUUAAUUGGGGACUUGUAUGAAAGAUUGGAUGAAAUAUGAACUGUCUCAUUAUAAUUUUAUAAAAUUUAAUUUUUUAGUUAAAAAGCUGAAAUUAAUUUAAAAGACGAGAAGACCCUAUAGAGUUUUAUAAUUUUAUUUAUGUUAUUGAAUUAUAAAUAUAUAAAGUAAUAUUAAUAUAAAUUAUUUUGUUGGGGUGACAAAAAAAUCUAAAUAACUUUUUUUAAUAAAAAAAAAUUACAUUAAUUUAUGAUAUAUUGAUCCAUUAGUAAUGAUUAAAAGAAAAAAUUACCUUAGGGAUAACAGCGUAAUUUUUUUUUUUAGGACAAAUAAGAAAAAAAGUUUGCGACCUCGAUGUUGGAUUAAGAUAAAAUUUAAAUGCAAAAGUUUAAAAUUUUUGAUCUGUUCGAU